UUUCCGUAGGUGAACCAGCGGAAGGAUCAUUAUCGGAUUUGCAAACUUCAGGCUGCUGCUGACUCUCCUCGGCGGGCAUUUGCACGCUUGUUGUCCAUUAUUUCUCCAACGGUGCACACAUUGUAGACCGUUCAGUACGCCUAUGUUGUUUUUCACAAUCUCUGAAUGUAAUAGAAUGGUCUGGAUUCUUGUGCAAAACCAUAACGAAUCUCGGCAACGGAUAUCUUGGCUCUU
rnacentral:misc_RNA from 1 species